GGACUGCUACGGGAGGCAGCAGUUAAGAAUCUUGCGCAAUGGGGGAAACCCUGACGCAGCCACGCCGCGUGAACGAUGAAGGCUUUCGGGUUGUAAAGUUCAGUAGAAUGGGAAGGAUAAGUCAAGUCGAAUAGGCUUGGUGAUGACGGUACUAUUCUGAAGCCCCGGCUAAUUACGUGCCAGCAGCCGCGGUAAUACGUAUGGGGCGAGCGUUGUUCGGAUUUAUUGGGCGUAAAGGGCACGCAGGCGGAUUGGUAAGUUGGAUGUUUAAGCGUUAGGCUCAACCUAAUAACAGCAUCCAAAACUGCCUUUCUAGAAUCCUGGAGAGGAAAGCGGAAUUCUCGGUGUAGCGGUGGAAUGCGUAGAUAUCGAGAGGAACACCAAUGGCGAAGGCAGCUUUCUGGACAGAGAUUGACGCUCAGGUGCGAAAGCGUGGGGAGCAAACAGGAUUAGAUACCCUGGUAGUCCACGCCUUAAACGUUGUAUACUAGAUGUUGGGGGUUUCAACGCCCUCAGUGUCGUCGCUAACGCAGUAAGUAUACCGCCUGGGGAGUAUGCCCGCAAGGGUGAAACUCAAAGGAAUUGACGGGGGCCCGCACAAGCGGUGGAGCAUGUGGUUUAAUUCGAUGAUACGCGAAAAACCUUACCCGGGCUUGACAUCCACUAGACAGGUGUAGAGAUACACUCUCCUUUAUGGCUGGUGGACAGGUGUUGCAUGGUUGUCGUCAGCUCGUGUUGUGAAAUGUUGGGUUAAGUCCCGCAACGAGCGCAACCCUUUCCUUAUGUUGCUACCAGUUCGGCUGGGCACUCUUAAGGUACCGCCGGUGAUAAACCGGAGGAAGGUGAGGAUGACGUCAAAUCAGCAUGGCCCUUACGUCCGGGGCUACACACGUGCUACAAUGGCCGGUACAGAGGGACGCCAAGCCGCGAGGCGGAGCAAAUCUCAGAAAGCCGGUCCAAGUUCGGAUUGUAGUCUGCAACUCGACUACAUGAAGCCGGAAUCGCUAGUAAUCGCGGAUCAGCAUUGCCGCGGUGAAUACGUUCCCGGGCCUUGUACACACCGCCCGUCACACCACCCGAGUUUGAGGUGCCCGAAGUGGACGCGCUAACCGAAAGGAGGCAGUUUACUAAGGCAAAGUAGGCGAGGGGGGUGAAGUCGUAACAAGGUAGCCGUACCGGAAGGUGUGGCUG
rnacentral:rRNA from 1 species